rnacentral:rRNA from 1 species
GAUCCCAUCAGAACUCCGAAGUUAAACGUGCUUGGGCGAGAGUAGUACUAGGAUGGGUGACCUCCUGGGAAGUCCUCGUGUUGCAUCC